CAAGUCGAACGGCAGCACGGGAGCUUGCUCCUGGUGGCGAGUGGCGAACGGGUGAGUAAUGCGUCGGAACGUACCGAGUAAUGGGGGAUAACGCAGCGAAAGCUGUGCUAAUACCGCAUACGCCCCGAGGGGGAAAGCAGGGGAUCGCAAGACCUUGCGUUAUUCGAGCGGCCGACGUCUGAUUAGCUAGUUGGUGGGGUAAAGGCCUACCAAGGCGACGAUCAGUAGCGGGUCUGAGAGGAUGAUCCGUCACACUGGGACUGAGACACGGCCCAGACUCCUACGGGAGGCAGCAGUGGGGAAUUUUGGACAAUGGGGGCAACCCUGAUCCAGCCAUUCCGCGUGAGUGAAGAAGGCCUUCGGGUUGUAAAGCUCUUUCAGCCGGAACAAAACUGUACGCACUAAUAUUGUGUGCUAAUGACGGUACCGGAAUAAGAAGCACCGGCUAACUACGUGCCAGCAGCCGCGGUAAUA
rnacentral:rRNA from 1 species